ACGGGAGGCAGCAGUGGGGGAUAUUGCACAAUGGGGGAAACCCUGAUGCAGCGACGCCGCGUGAGUGAAGAAGUAUUUCGGUAUGUAAAGCUCUUUAAGUUGGGAAGAUAAUGACGGUACCAACAGAAUAAGCCCCGGCUAACUACGUGCCAGCAGCCGCGGUAAUACGUAGGGGGCAAGCGUUAUCCGGAUUUACUGGGUGUAAAGGGCGUGUAGGCGGAACUGCAAGUCAGAUGUGAAAUCCCGGGGCUCAACCCCGGAACUGCAUUUGAAACUGUAGUCCUUGAGUAUCGGAGAGGCAAGCGGAAUUCCUAGUGUAGCGGUGAAAUGCGUAGAUAUUAGGAGGAACACCAGUGGCGAAGGCGGCUUGCUGGACGACAACUGACGCUGAGGCGCGAAAGCGUGGGGAGCAAACAGGAUUAGAUACCCUGGUA
rnacentral:rRNA from 1 species